rnacentral:rRNA from 1 species
UACGUAGGGUGCGAGCGUUAAUCGGAAUUACUGGGCGUAAAGCGUGCGCAGGCGGUCUGUUAAGACCGAUGUGAAAUCCCCGGGCUUAACCUGGGAACUGCAUUGGUGACUGGCAGGCUUUGAGUGUGGCAGAGGGAGGUAGAAUUCCACGUGUAGCAGUGAAAUGCGUAGAGAUGUGGAGGAAUACCGAUGGCGAAGGCAGCCUACUGGGCCGACACUGACGCUGAUGCGCGAAAGCGUGGGGAGCAAACAGG